GAGAAAGUCAUAAAGGCUAUGGGGUUGACUUAAAAUCAAUUUUUUGAGGGUUUUGAUUCCUUCCUUUCUCG
rnacentral:tRNA from 1 species